GGGUAAUGUCUGGGAAACUGCCUGAUGGAGGGGGAUAACUACUGGAAACGGUAGCUAAUACCGCAUAACGUCUCCGGACCAAAGUGGGGGACCUUCGGGCCUCACACCAUCGGAUGUGCCCAGAUGGGAUUAGCUUGUGGGUGGGGUAAUGGCUCACCUAGGCGACGAUCCCUAGCUGGUCUGAGAGGAUGACCAGCCACACUGGAACUGAGACACGGUCCAG
rnacentral:rRNA from 1 species